CAGUAGCCACGGUAAUACGUAGGUGGCAAGCGUUGUCCGGAAUUAUUGGGCGUAAAGGGCUCGCAGGCGGUUUCUUAAGUCUGAUGUGAAAGCCCCCGGCUCGACCGGGGAGGGUCAUUGGAAACUGGGAAACUUGAGUGCAGAAGAGGAGAGUGGAAUUCCACGUGUAGCGGUGAAAUGCGUAGAGAUGUGGAGGAAUACCAGUGGCGAAGGCGACUCUCUGGUCUGUAACUGACGCUGAGGAGCGAAAGCGUGGGGAGCGAACAGGAUUAGAUACCCGAGUAGUCCCUGUCUCUUAUAC
rnacentral:rRNA from 1 species